rfam:Blastomyces dermatitidis ER-3 genomic scaffold supercont1.1, whole genome shotgun sequence.
UCCUCGCUCAAAGAAUCGCAUUCAAAGCUUACGCACAGAAGAAGUCUUUCUUCUUCAUACCAUUACUCCUAGCUUUGGGAGAAAGUCCCCGGACACCCUGCGCCCUCGUCUUAAAACCGCGAGGGUUCCUCAUGCAACAAGCCAGGCACUGCGGAAACGCGCCGCCAUAGAAGCAUUUUUCAUAGCGGCUUACGCCUCUUUUCCCUUCCCUUCCUCUUUUCUCUCGAGGGAGAGGAAGGGCUCGUCUCCGUCCUAGCCCGACUCUUCAGAUGUUUUAUUCUGUGGAGGAAACAAUGGUGGUUUAGAUGGGGCGGGGUCUUUUGGCGAGGGGGAGGUUGCUAUUCGUCGUGGUUCGAUAGUCAUGCGAUUGCUUGGUUUCCCGCGUGUAUUAUUAUUAUAUGUGUGUGGAGCCGGGUAACUCGAUGGGGCUUAUUCUUGAGGCGAGG